ACGUAGGAGGCGAGCGUUAUCCGGAUUUACUGGGUGUAAAGGGCGUGUAGGCGGGUUUGCAAGUCGGAUGUGAAAUUCCCGGGCUUAACUCGGGCGGGUCAUCCGAAACUGCGGAUCUUGAGUACUGGAGAGGAUAGUGGAAUUCCUAGUGUAGCGGUGAAAUGCGUAGAUAUUGGGAGGAACGCCAGAGGCAAAGGCGGCGAACUGGGCUUAAACUGACCAUGAGGCGCGAUAGCGUGGGGAGAAAGCAG
rnacentral:rRNA from 1 species